GCACUGGUAGUUCAGUGGUGGAAUUCUUGCCUUGCAUGCGGGAGAUCCAGGUUCAAUUCUCAGCCAAUGUA
rnacentral:tRNA from 1 species